rnacentral:misc_RNA from 1 species
GACGACAACGCAAGCAUCGAAGCUCGCCGUCGACCAACGAACCGAGUGCAUCCAUCCCAAUACCUCGCGCGUGAAGAAGAUCCGUACCGCCGGUCACCACGGCAUCUUCCUUCUCUCCUUCUCUCUUGCCCCAGUCGGUGGUGGUGGCCAACACAGCAGCGGCAUCUGGCUUUCUCUCUCCAUCUCUCAGUUUGAUCUCUCCGCUGCUUGCUCGGAGGCCUCACGAGUCUCGACGAUGGCCGAGGGAGUCACAACCCGCGUAUAUUUAUACGCCCCAGAACUAAAGGAGAUAGGAUCGGCUAGCAAGGAUCACGUAUAUGUGA